AUGGACCUAAACCUGUGUAAAGUAGACUGGGUCUCCUCUGAGUCAGUCUAACUAAAGAUGUUUGAGAUAUUGUCUAAUCAUCACUCAUCAUAUUCUCCUCAGUAAUCGAGAGAACAGACUAAGAGAUAGUCAUCACGUGUGAAAAGGAAAAGGAAGGAAACAGUAGUUAACAACAGGUUGAAAUGUUUCUUCAUUCCACAGACAGACUCCAACCUUGUUGCCACAGCUAUGUAAUCUUCAUCGUGAGGACAACACGCCACCUGAGUGAUGGAUCCCUCCUGCAGAUAAAGGGAGGAAGCCGCUGCUCGCUGUGACGCCUCUCUGACUGACUGACUUCAGACAGCCGAGCUGGGCUGAACGGUAAAUGCUCCACCCUCGAGCAAAUCAACAACAAAUUAGACAAUUUUACAAUGAGUCUCCAGCAAUCCAAUAUGCAUAUUUCUUUACUCUUUUGUCUGUAUUUUAAAUAAUAUCAGUACAUAUGAUGCUGCCUUUCUACAGCUAAUUAAAAAAAGUAAACAGAAAAAUACAAAUGUUUUUCAUCAAUUCACAGUUUAUUGCAAAAUAUAAUUUUGUCAUGUUGUCUGUUGUCAUAAUACAUUUUUUAACACUGAGCUUUUAAAUUGACUUCCACUGACGUCCAUGUUAUAUGAAUGUCAUCCUGGUUGCCUAAUUACUAGUGGCGUUCAGAAAUCUAAAGGAAUAUACAACAAAGUAUCUGUAUUUAAUAUAAUUACAAAAACUCAAAUGCUUCGAUCAUGGAUGUUUCUUUUUAGUCAAACGUAACACAUUUCAUCACGAAACAUUAAAACUUACUUUUGGAAUUGUCAACUUUCCUUAAGAAUCAAACAUGAAUGCACCAAGCAGAAAUUGUAGAUGGACAUUAACCUUUUUUUUGGGUUAAUUGUUCGUUAUCUAGCGGCUGAUAAGAGUGAAACAAAAAAAGGAUACAGAUCGCUUGAAUUUUGGAUGUAAAACAUAUUCUCAAUUCACUAUCUGAAUCUUGUGGUUUAUAAAAACACUUGGGACACCUUAUAAUGAAAAGAAUUAAAUGACCAAAAACACCAGUUAGAGGUCAAAGACCUGGGUAAAAAAAUACUGCAGCUUUACGCCUUCUCUUUAUUUCAUUUACAUGUUUUCUCCAGUGCAGGGAGAAGGUGCAGACAUUAGAAAACAGUGACAGUGUGAUUUGAGUCGCACACACAUUAAUGCACUCAAGUGUUAAAUGUCUUUAGAAUAUUGCUCUAUUCACUUCCACCUUUAGCUUCAGAUUUUCCAAAACACUGUUCUACAAAUGGAGCCAGUGCUCAGACGGGCAUCUUUCCUCAGCAGUUCUUUUCCUCUGAUCGCUGAUGAACACCAUCCUUGUCACAUCACAGCACAGCACAACAUGUUUUCCUGAGUCUAAUACACAUUUCCUUCUGAAAUUUGGUCAUACAAUACCAUUUUUGAAAAAAAAA